CUCUAAAUACUCCUCCAAGGGGAUUUUGCCUUUCGGUAUAGCAAUGUGCUUGAUGAAUCAAAAUGAGCCAUUUGAUAGAUGUUAUGAGGGAAAUUUCCAUGUGCUUUGACAGUAAUGUAGGGUCAUGGAGGCUGCACUAAUCAGGCUGUAGAUUGAGUUUGAUGUAUACCCCACGAAUCUUGCCUGGUUGAAGGUGUUUUUCUUGGUCCCUAUAUAUAUUUAUACAUCUUUUGUACAACCUCUGUUAAAUAGAAGCAUCCUAAUCUAUCAAGAAAAAUGUAAGGGUCAAAUCUCAUAAGCUACUCUUUCAAAUACUUCACGCAUUGGCUAGGCUAGGCUCACUACUAUGAGGUACUAAUCCACCAUUUUUGCAGCAAAAGCUCCUAGAUGAGUAGAUUCUACCACCAGACCCGGGGGGAUUAUGAAAAUUUGUGCUUUAGUCCUAGGAUAAUGCGAUAUAGUGUGAUAUAAUGCCCCCAAAAAAUUUUCAGAAGAAAAGGUACGGCUUCCAUUAGAAUACGGUGUGAUAUAGUGUUUUAGUCCUAUGAAUACUGCCCCCAUGAGAAGAAAAUUUAUGACUUCCAUUACAAUACAAUGUGAUAUAACUGGAUAACAUUGUCAUGGAAAAACAGUAGGAGACAUUGAUGUUGACCCUAUUAGACCAAUCUUUUCAGGUAAAAUUACACUAACAAAUUUAUGUCACAGUCACAUACAUCACAUUUCCUAGUAUCUAGCAGCAGGGAAGCAAGUACAAUUUUAUGAGUCUAUAUAAAGAGAGUAACUUAGAUGAAGAUGAUAUGCAAAAAAGGAGAUUCAAUUAUAUACCAAAAGAGUCUAAGAUAUGGCUAUAUGCAAGCGCAUUCUUCUUGUGACUUUUGUGUUGCUUUGCUUCAUCACUAUCACUGCUGAAGCACGAAGUUUGCAAGGCGUGGCUACUAGGGAAGCUCCCAAGGGCCAUGAUGAUUUGUUUACACCAAACCAAGAACAUGAAGAGGACAAUGAUGAAUUAGUGUCUGUGGAUUACACUCCAACAAAAAAGAAUCCUCCAAUCCAUAACUAAGAUGCCAGCUUUUGUUGAGCAAGUACAAGCUUAUUAGCUCCUAUAUCAUUCCUACUUUAGUUUUGAGUGUACAUAUCUUUGUUGAGGGGGGGGGAUACCAAAAAUUUGGAAAGUAUGGUUAGUAAAAUGCAAGCAGAAACAGAUAGUCAGACACUAUGUAGCUAGGGUCAAAGGUGUUUUGAAGAUUGUUAUGGCAAGUUUCCUAGAGAGAGGGGAAACUUGGCUUCAAUGUGCUUGAUAUGUUAGUAUCUAUUAGUUUCCUUCUCAAAUACAUAUAAUAAUAAUAUUUUUGUGUUUUCACUGAA